rnacentral:rRNA from 1 species
UACAGAGGUCCCGAGCGUUGUUCGGAUUCACUGGGCGUAAAGGGUGCGUAGGUGGCUUGGAAAGUUUGAUGUGAAAGCUCAGGGCUUAACCCUGAAAUGGCAUUGAAUACUAUCGAGCUGGAGGUUUGGAGGGGGGACUGGAAUUCUCGGUGUAGCAGUGAAAUGCGUAGAUAUCGAGAGGAACACCAGUGGCGAAGGCGAGUCCCUGGACAACACCUGACACUGAGGCACGAAAGCCGGGGGAGCAAACAGG